rnacentral:rRNA from 1 species
UACGUAGGGGGCAAGCGUUAUCCGGAUUUACUGGGUGUAAAGGGAGCGUAGACGGAUGGACAAGUCUGACGUGAAAGGCUGGGGCUCAACCCCGGGACUGCAUUGGAAACUGCCCGUCUUGAGUGCCGGAGAGGUAAGCGGAAUUCCUAGUGUAGCGGUGAAAUGCGUAGAUAUUAGGAGGAACACCAGUGGCGAAGGCGGCUUACUGGACGGUAACUGACGUUGAGGCUCGAAAGCGUGGGGAGCAAACAGG